GCACAUGGUUAUGACUUUCCGUUCUUAAAUUACUUUUUUUGGUUUGUAAUAAACUUGUUCAUCUUGUUCUCUUAGGGUUUAUAAAAUCAUGCUCUCUCUCUCUGUCUAUGCCAUAUUUUUCAUUGUUAAUAUUGUUUAUUCUUCACUCGUACCAGUCGUGCUAGAGGUUUCUCUCUUUUUUUUUUAAAGACCCAUUUUUAUUUUGUGGUUUUUCUCCUGUGUUUCUUUGCUUUCUAUUUUAUGGAUUAUGUGGAUUCCUCCUUACUUUUAUUCCUGUGUGAUUGUUUUAUUAGGUACAUGACUUGAAAGUUUAGCUUAAUUGCUUUUCAUUUUACUUUUUAAAGAAUAAUUACAUUUCAGGCUAUGCAUUUCUCCUUGCUCUGUCCUACAACUUUUGUCAUGUGGCUUUUGUUGCCUUUAGUUUGAAAUAUUCCAUGACAUAAUGUCCUCUUUAAACCAAUGAACUGUUUGUUAAGGCUUGCUUGCUUGCUUGCUUGCUUUCCUUCUCUCUUUUCCUUCUUUCUCUUUCUUUCUUUCUUUCUUUCUUUCUUUCUUUCUUUCUUUCUUUCUUUCUUUCUUUCUUUCUUUCUUUCUUUCUUUCUCCAAGUUAAAUGUUAUUGCUGUUUUUAACCAUCCUUUUAUUGUUGAAUGGUACUUUAAAUAUUUAAAUGCUUUGCGAACAGAGAUGAUAUUAAAUCUUGGAUAUUGUUUGAGGUUUCUUGGGACCAAGUAUGCGGUCAUUUUAGAAAAAUGGACUGAAUGUAUAGCAAAUAUUCUCCAUUUGUUUGGGUGUAAGGUUCUCUAUAUAUUAGAUCAAGCUUGUUAAUUGUACUCAAGUAAUGUUUCCACUGGAUAUAUCAGUUUUUAAUAACUGUCAAAAUCUUCCAAAAUGUUUAUCAUUAUGCAGUUUUUAUCACGUUCUUUUUAUUUUUGUAGGUUUGUAAAAUUACCAAUUGAAUCAUUUCUUUUAUCAUGAUAAAAUACUUCUUUUCCCUUUUAAUGCUUUUUGUCUUGAUUUUUAUUUUGUCUAAUGUUAAUAUUGCUGCAUCAGAGAUUCUUUUGGUAUUAUUUUCCUUGUAAUCUUUAUUUUCAUACUUUUGUGUUCAUUAUGUUCUAGGCAUAUUUAUGGAAGGAGGAUCUUUUUGUCCAUCCAAUUUGAUAGUCUUUAUCUUUUAACAUGUGAAUUAAAUCCACUUAUAUUUAUUGAACCUACCUACACAAGAUUCUGAAGGUAUACAGAACAAGUCUCCCCGAAAUGUGUCACUUCAGCAUGUUGACUAUUUUUAGCAGAAGGCAAUAGAGGUACAGCGGACUCAAGAAACAUUUUUUUCUCCUUAAAUUGCCUAAAAGAAUUUAGAUGGGAGGCCUAACCCAGAAAAAGAAUGAUUACUAAGAGAUAACUUUUUUUAUCUGAAAGACUUAUCUGAAUGGCAAGACAAACGUAAUUACCAACCAUCUGCUCUUCUUACUGUCCAAUGAAUCACCCUUUACCUUUUACUCCAAGCCCCUUUUCCAUUCCUUAUUUCAGGGUAGCAUAUAGGUCUCAAGUGCCCCACUUGUCCUUGGAUAUCAUAUUCCCUGUAUGCAUUAAAUUAAAUGUUUUUCUCCUGUUAA